UACAGAGGGGGCAAGCGUUGUUCGGAAUUACUGGGCGUAAAGGGCGUGUAGGCGGUCUGUUAAGUCUGGUGUGAAAUCCCCCCGCUCAACGGGGGAACGGCGCCGGAUACUGGCAGACUUGAGUACCGGAGAGGAAGGUGGAAUUCCUGGUGUAGAGGUGAAAUUCGUAGAUAUCAGGAGGAACACCAGUGGCGAAGGCGGCUUUCUGGACGGUAACUGACGCUGAGACGCGAAAGCGUGGGGAGCAAACAGG
rnacentral:rRNA from 1 species